rnacentral:rRNA from 1 species
UUGAACGCUGGCGGCAGGCCUAACACAUGCCAGUCGAACGGUAACAGGAAACAGCUUGCUGUUUCGCUGACGAGUGGCGGACGGGUGAGUAAUGUCUGGGAAACUGCCUGAUGGAGGGGGAUAACUACUGGAAACGGUAGCUAAUACCGCAUAACGUCGCAAGACCCAAGAGGGGGACCCUCGGGCCUCUUGCCAUCGGAUGUGCCCAGAUGGGAUUAGCUUGUUGGUGGGGUAACGGCUCACCAAGGCGACGAUCCCUAGCUGGUCUGAGAGGAUGACCAGCCACACUGGAACUGAGACACGGUCCAGACUCCUACGGGAGGCAGCAGUGGGGAAUAUUGCACAAUGGGCGCAAGCCUGAUGCAGCCAUGCCGCGUGUAUGAAGAAGGCCUUCGGGUUGUAAAGUACUUUCAGCGGGGAGGAAGGGAGUAAAGUUAAUACCUUUGCUCAUUGACGUUACCCGCAGAAGAAGCACCGGCUAACUCCGUG